CGCUGCCCGCCCCGUCGUUAAGUUUGGGGGAUCCCCUCCCCAACCCCCGCGCAGUGCCGGUGUUCACCCGGUAAUUGUCGUUGCCGAUUGUCGGGGAGCGAUGCGGCGGCGGUGGUAGCGGGGAUGGAGAGAGGGAACGGAGCGGGAGGAGGAUGCGAUGCGUUCGGGGUUGGCUGGAGCCCUCCUGCGCUCCCAUUGUUAUUGGGGUCGGGAGGAUCGGAGCGCGCACAUUUGCAGCCCCGCAUGUCGCUGAACCCAAUUGGCGGUGGGAGGUUGAGUCGGUCCUGAGAGCUCUCUCGGAGCACCGGUUGUCACCUUGUGAUGGAUACAGCGCCAACAGAGAGAUCCUUUGUGGUCCCGCUCGGGUCACCCGUACCGUCCCCAUCGGGCUGUGAAAUUAACGGUGAGUCCUUUGUUAACAUUAAUGACCUGGGAACAAACCGGCAGUGUUGACAAUGUGCGACUUCCAUGGGCACGCAGCUCGUGGAGAGCCGGGCAGCGACACAAUGGCUCUGCGAACGCCGCGUAAUGGGAUGAAACCCAACCUGGAGCCGCCACAAAAGCCGAAAUGCUCAUUUACAGGGAUAUUAAAAGGGUUUAUCCCUCCUGGAGAUCACGGAGUUGAAAUCGCGGCGUGCUUCGUGGGGGAGUCAACAAAUUUAAAUGUGCUUUUGCAAGGCUUCGGUGCUGUAUCAACAGUUCCAGCAUUUAAUACAUUUCGGCUUUUAAACAGAUCAUGCACCACGGCCUCGAUCGCCGGCCCCAAAAGUACUGCAGGUAGCACGGCCACCUCUGCUCGUUUAUGGCAUUGUGGUCAGAAGGGGAUUAGGGGGAUGAGCGCUCAGGAUACGAAAGCAUUCCCGGGUGCAUCACGCUAAUGACUUUUCCUGGGUGCGUGCAGAAGCUUGAUUUCAUAGUAAAUACUGGCAGCGACUUUUCUGCAGGGUGGAGGGUAGGUGGCUGGCAGCCCCCGGGAGCAGCGGCAACGGGGAGCGAUGGCAUCGGGUACUGGUGGCACUGGGGAGCGGCGGUGGCACGGAGUGGUGGGCAGGCAGCAGCGCUGCGGGAUCACAGUGGGAAAGGUGACCUUGUGCCAGCUUGGCCUGGUGCCCUCUAUUAAAAAAAGAAAAGGGAAAAAAAAAAAAAAAAAAUAGAAGGGAAACAAUCCAUUUAUUCUUCUUCUGAGAGCUUUUUUCCCCUCGUUGCCUUUAUUUCUUGGGCUUUAACGCGUGGGGCUGAGCUGGCCUAGGGCUUGCCGGGAACGGCGGAGUUUGAGCAGCCCUGAUGAAUGGUGGGCAUAUGUAAAACACGCAGAUAAUGUGCUGCGCGGCGGCACUUUG
rnacentral:lncRNA from 1 species